GAUUGGCUCGUGUUUCAGAGAAGGCAUCUCAGGGUUUCAAAUCUUGAGCAUGAUUAGGUUGGAGUUGCUUGUUUACAACUCUGCUGUUUGUUAGCACUUGGGAAUUUUUGCGCUUGCUGGAAAUCUCCGACUCUAAACUGAAAAGGGUUUGUGAGAUGGAAUGGAAAGAAACAGUGAUCGAAAAUGGGUGGAAAAGUUAUGGCUGUGAAUUUGUCUGAUAGAUGAAUAGCCCGUUGUUCGUUCAGCUAUUUGGACAUGAUGAUCCCCUUAUUAGGAGACUUGGAUCUAGGAUUAUUAUUUUUCUUUAUUUGAUUAGGUCUUUUUAGUUGUAGCAAUCGCAAUAUAGUUGAUAAUUGGAAAAUUAUUUGUAAAAUUGAAAAUAGAAUAUGUAAAUAACAGCUCAAAAAGGUUGAAGAAAUCGAAAAUAAUUGUUUA